UACAGAGGGGGCAAGCGUUGUUCGGAAUUACUGGGCGUAAAGGGCGCGUAGGCGGCACGGCAAGUCGGGAGUGAAAGCCCGGGGCUCAACCCCGGAGGGUCUUCCGAAACUGCCGAGCUAGAGUGCGGAAGAGGCAACCGGAAUUCCCAGUGUAGCGGUGAAAUGCGUAGAUAUUGGGAAGAACACCGGAGGCGAAGGCGGGUUGCUGGGCCGACACUGACGCUGAGGCGCGAAAGCCAGGGGAGCAAACGGG
rnacentral:rRNA from 1 species